rnacentral:rRNA from 1 species
UACAGAGGGGGCAAGCGUUAUUCGGAAUUAUUGGGCGUAAAGGGCGCGUAGGCGGCCUGGCAAGUGGAAGGUGAAAAUCCCUCGGCUUAACCGAGGAACUGCCCUCCAAACUGCUUGGCUUGAGUCCGGGAGAGGUGAGUGGAAUUCCCAGUGUAGCGGUGAAAUGCGUAGAUAUUGGGAGGAACACCAGUGGCGAAGGCGGCUCACUGGACCGGAACUGACGCUGAGGCGCGGAAAAGCGUGGGGAGCAAAGCGGGG